rnacentral:rRNA from 1 species
CUGGCGGCGUGCUUAACACAUGCAAGUCGAACGGACCCUUCGUGGGGUUAGUGGCGGACGGGUGAGUAACGGGUGAGGAUCUGCACUCAGGAGGGGAACAACAGUGUGGAAACGACUGCUAAUGCCCCAUAUGCCGAGAGGUGUAAAUGUUUUUUCGCCUGAAGGGAGGAACACUGCGUCUGAUUAGCUAGUUGGUAGGGUAACGGUCUACCAAGGCGCACGAUUCAGUAGCUGUGUCUAAGAGGAUGAUCAGCCACACUGGGACUGAGACACGGGCCCAGACUCCUACGGGAGGCAGCAGUGGGGAAUUUUCCGCAAUGGGCGAAAGCCUGAUCGGACGCAACGCCGCGUGAGGGACGAAGGCCUUAGGGUUGUAAACCUCUUUUCUCUGGGAUGAAGAUACUGACGGUAACUAGAGGAAUAAGCCUCGGCUAACUCCGUGCCAGCAGCCGCGGUAAGACGGAGGAGGCAAGCGUUAUCCGGAAUUAUUGGGCGUAAAGCGUCCGUAGGCGGCUUUUUAAGU